ACUCAAAUGAAUUGACGGGGGCCCGCACAAGCGGUGGAGCAUGUGGUUUAAUUCGAUGCAACGCGAAGAACCUUACCUACUCUUGACAUCCAGAGAACUUUCCAGAGAUGGAUUGGUGCCUUCGGGAACUCUGAGACAGGUGCUGCAUGGCUGUCGUCAGCUCGUGUUGUGAAAUGUUGGGUUAAGUCCCGCAACGAGCGCAACCCUUAUCCUUUGUUGCCAGCGGUUAGGCCGGGAACUCAAAGGAGACUGCCAGUGAUAAACUGGAGGAAGGUGGGGAUGACGUCAAGUCAUCAUGGCCCUUACGAGUAGGGCUACACACGUGCUACAAUGGCGCAUACAAAGAGAAGCGACCUCGCGAGAGCAAGCGGACCUCAUAAAGUGCGUCGUAGUCCGGAUUGGAGUCUGCAACUCGACUCCAUGAAGUCGGAAUCGCUAGUAAUCGUAGAUCAGAAUGCUACGGUGAAUACGUUCCCGGGCCUUGUACACACCGCCCGUCACACCAUGGGAGUGGGUUGCAAAAGAAGUAGGUAGCUUAACCUUCGGGAGGGCGCUUACCACUUUG
rnacentral:rRNA from 1 species